ensembl:lncRNA
AGUACCAGGCAGGAACCUGAUUAUCCACCUGUGGUUGGAGCUGAAUAGAGCUGUGGAAAGAGACCAGGAGGACCGAGACAGGACCUUCUCUGCAGGGGAAGCAGAAGACUAUUUGCUUCAAAAUGGUGCUGAAAAGAUACAGAAGUUCAAGAGGAUCAUGACAGUACCAGGUCUCAGAUGGAAAGGAGAUGCUGCUCUUUUCCCAGCUCUGUGACAGGCCACUGAUGAGCCAGCUCCUGCUCUGCAGCUUAGAUGAGGCAGUUGAUUUUCAAGAUGAAAUAAAGAAGCUACUUCCCGUCAGCUCCUCGGUCUGUCAACUUCCAAGUCAGCCACACCAAAUUGGAGGACCAGUGGUUGAUACAGAGAACAGCUAAGACAGAAGGACAAGACAUUCCUGCAUGAAAAAUUAUGAACAGCAAGCAGCACAGGACUGUGUUUGACGCACGAAAGAGCUACAAAUGCCAAACAGAAAGUCAGGCUCAGUGUCUCUUACUUUGUGCUUCAGGAGUUUGAAUAUGUUAAGAGACCAAAGUGCUGAAGUGUUGUAGCAGGAGGGCAAGAAGCAUCUCCCAGAUGCUGGAACCAUCAGUUGUCACAUUGCCACCUGGCCUGGAUCUCAGACAGAGGGGUGCUGGAGCUCUGCCAGCGACUCCAGUUCUGUGCAUGCUAGCAGUAAACCUUCAAAAUAGUGACACCACACGGCUUGGGUUUUCUAUCAGCAACAUUUCAAUCCCCAUUAUUAAUAUUCAAGGAUUAGAGGGGCUGGUUUUACCUGAACAUAACUAGGUUGGAAACAUACUGCUUGUGGAGUGCUGCUUUUAUGCUUUUUUUUUUUUUUCUUUUUCUGUUUUUCUUCUGACUCUCAGUUUCCUGUUGCUUAAUGCUGAAUAGCAUGCAAGGUGACAGUCAGUAUUUUCUGGAAUCUAAGAAUUAAUCUGUUUCACACCAAUUGUCUCCACAGCUGUCU